GGGCUGGUAGCUCAGACCGGUAGAGCGCUUCGCUUGCACCGAAGCGGCCGCGGGUUCAAAUCCCGUCCAGUCCA
rnacentral:tRNA from 2 species